rnacentral:rRNA from 1 species
CCUACGGGAGGCAGCAGUGAGGAAUAUUGGUCAAUGGGCGCGAGCCUGAACCAGCCAAGUCGCGUGAGGGAUGACGGUCCUACGGAUUGUAAACCUCUUUUACCGGGGAGCAAGCGUGCGUUCGUGAACGCUCGUCGAGAGUACCCGUAGAAAAAGCAUCGGCUAACUCCGUGCCAGCAGCCGCGUUAAUACGGAGGAUGCGAGGUUUAUCCGGAUUUAUUGGGUUGAAAGGGUGCGUAGGCGGGAGGCCAAGUCAGCGGGAAAAAUGCGGUGCUCAACGCAGUCGAGCCGUUGAUACUGGCGUUCUUGAGUGGGCGAGAGGUAUGCGGAAUUCGUGGUGUAGCGGUGAAAUGCAUAGAUAUCACGCAGAACCCCGAUUGCGAAGGCAGCAUACCGACGCCCGACUGACGCUGAGGCACGAAAGCGUGGGUAUCGAACAGGAUUAGAUACCCGUGUAGUC